ensembl:ncRNA R173.6 ncRNA
UGUGAUCGAAAGAAUACAGAUAAACCGGUAAAUCGUGUUUGAGGUAGUAAGUGGCUAAUUGAGAUGCUGGGGCGUCGUACCAGAAGUGCGAAUACAUCUGAAGACAAAAACACUUGAACCAAACUCUGGAAAGUUUUUCGAAACUCA